AUUGAACGCUGGCGGCAUGCUUUACACAUGCAAGUCGAACGGCAGCGCGGGCUUCGGCCUGGCGGCGAGUGGCGAACGGGUGAGGAAUACAUCGGAACGUGCCCAGGAGUGGGGGAUAGCUCGGCGAAAGCCGGAUUAAUACCGCAUACGACCUGAGGGUGAAAGCGGGGGAUCUUCGGACCUCGCGCUAUUGGAGCGGCCGAUGGCAGAUUAGCUAGUUGGUGGGGUAAAGGCCUACCAAGGCGACGAUCGGUAGCUGGUCUGAGAGGACGACCAGCCACACUGGGACUGAGACACGGCCCAGACUCCUACGGGAGGCAGCAGUGGGGAAUUUUGGACAAUGGGCGAAAGCCUGAUCCAGCAAUGCCGCGUGUGUGAUGAAGGCCUUCGGGUUGUAAAGCACUUUUGGCGGGAACGAAAAGGACUGUGCUAAUACCACGGUUCGAUGACGGUACCCGCAGAAUAAGCACCGGCUAACUACGUG
rnacentral:rRNA from 1 species